rnacentral:lncRNA from 10 species
CUUGGCUAUUUACUCGGGCAGGUGAGAGGCUGACUGGAGGGUGCUUUCCUGGCAGCCAAGGCAAAUGGCCAUGGACCAGAUGGCACCGGGUGUGUGUGGAAGGGCCGGCGGUCCUUCUCUCCUCUUCUGCGGAGUCCUCGGUGUUGCAGGCCUGGAGUGCAGCAGUGGAGGCAGAAGCCAGACUACAUUUCCAAGACCCUCCUUCUGCCAGCUGCUUCUGCUGGGGGUCUGCCUGCGAGAGGCACUGAUAGAAGGUGAAAGCAGGAAGAAGAAAUGAGCCUCUGUGGCCUCCGGCCCCUUGAAGGGACCUCUGGCCACGGCAGCAGCCAGAGGGUGUGGGCUCCUGGUUCCCGAUCAGGACCCCGCGCAGCCCCAUCAGCACAGUGGCAAAGCCUCCAACAGGCCAGUGCCGUGCUGGCCGGUCGGGUGCCAGCAUCCUGAUGUCUGGGUGAUCUCCUUCUCCCUUGUGCUCCCCCAGCCCCUUCAGCACCUUUUGCAACCAGUUUUCUGCAUGAAAUCCCGGCCUCAGCAUGAACUAUGUAAAGCUGGGCCCACACCUGGUAGACAGGCUGCAGUGAGGGGUGUGUUCAGCAGGCCUGAAUUUCAGCCAUAAAUUUGGGGAUAAGAGAAAUAUUGCAUUUCCUUUGCUUUUUUUCUUUUUUCUUUUCUUUUCUUUUUUUUUUUUUUUUUGAAACAAGGUCUCGUUCUGUUGCCCAUGUGGGAGUACAGUGGCACAAUCAUGGCUCACUGCAACCUCAGACUCCUGGGCUCAAGCAAUCCUCCCACCUCAGCUCCCUGAGUAGCUGGGACCACAGCCUUGAACCACCACACUUGGCUAAUUUUUGCAGUUUUGUAGAGACGGAAUCUUACCAUGUUGCUCAGGCUGGUCUCUAACUCCUGGGCUCAAGUGAUCCUCUCAUCUUGGCCUCCCAAGGUGGUAGGAUUACAGGUGUGAGCCACCGUGCCUGACCGUGUUUGCUUUUUUUUUUUUUUUUUUGGAGAUGGAGUCUCUCUGUGUCGCCCAG